GCGUUGGACUGCUAAUCCAAUGGGCUCUGCCCGCGUGAGUUCGAAUCUCAUCCUCGUCG
rnacentral:tRNA from 1 species